CAGAAGGGUCGUGGUGGCUGCACAGAGCUUAACUAUUGGUAAGAAAACGUCAACAGCGAUGAAACAGGACUGCGUCGUCCGCCGCAGCGCCCGGGAGAAGCUAACUAGCUAGCAAGUUAGCGCUUCAUCCCCGGGUCUCUCCUCCCAUGUGAACUCGACUGACAGUCGCGGGGUCGACUUGGAUACGCGACACCGGGGCGAAGUAAGCGCGAGCCGGCGCCCGAGUCACGCGGACAAAAGUUGGUUGAAGCCACGAACUCACCACUGAGGCACGAGAGCGUGACUAUCACGGAGGCGAGCGGGACCGCAGGGAGCCGGCGGGAGUGACCGAGCGACGCACGCUGGGACGGAGCGUCGGAUGGAGCCAGAGACACUGAGGGAGGGAUCAGCGGAUACCAACGGCAACACAGGGGGACGGCUGGCGCUGAGAACAUGAGAGGAGAAGGUUUCUGUCAAGACAAGCAUCGCUCCCAUAAUGAGCGGGGGAAACUCUCCUUAUUAACUCCAGAAACAGGAGAAAGGGAGGACGAAAAAGCCUAGUAAAUAAUACAUGUUCUUUGAAAUAUACAUGAAAGUCUCCGUCCUGCACUCCAAUUAUAUAAUCCCAAUCCCAGUCAGAGAACCCGCGUUACAUAACGCUCAAGCUGGAAGUCAAAGACCUCGGGGCAUCAUUAUUAUUCUGCUCAAAGCAAACAGCGUCCCCCGUGCCACGCAGCAGCAGCUGUUAGCGUAUUAUAUAAAAACAGAUAAUGGCAAAUCUCUGUGUGGUUGUUUCUUCCGGGCUGCGGGAGCGACGGGGGCCAGACGCCGCUGAUUGCGCCUCGGCACGGGCCGACGCGCAAUCAGCGCGGACGGGAGCGCGUGGCACGUGGCGCGCGGAUGCGGCGGCGCCCGGACUCGUUUGCACGGAGACAAACGCGUGAUUAAGCUCGUGUUUUGAUUUGUCUGGUUGUUGAGAGCCGCUUGUGUUUGAACGGCCGCUAAUAACCCGCUUCCUGUUCCCUGGUUGAAUGUGGAAUGAUCACCGCACGCGGCGGAUCGGAGGGUCGUCUGGGAUCACGGAUGACGAGGCCGACAGUCGAACGGCUUUGAGUCCAUCAAUAGGACACGCUGACCUUCUUCUCACUCAGCGGCAGCUGGAUUUGCGGCAUUAGCCGCAGAGUCUCUCUCAACACCGUCCGAGCAUCCGGACGCACGGUUAAGGCUAAACCCUCGUCGUGAGGCGAGCGUUCGCCGGGAAACGGGCCCACGUGGAAAACGUCUCCGCGCGCGCUCUCAAGGUUAGACCGGAGACGCGAGAGAGCGGCUCCGAAGCAUGAAUAGUGAUGAGGCUGAACUCCCACCGGAUCCGGCUGCUGAUAAGAGCACGGCGGCAAUAUGAUUGGUUUUGUGGUGGAAAAACAAAUCUAAAUAGUAAGUCUGGUUAGAGCUGAACCGCGUCGUCAGGGGGAUUCCCCUAAGUGCCCGGCGCCUUUCCUCACAUUUCCUGGUUGCUCACGCUGUCACGUGCGCAAACGUCCGCUUAAACGCACGUGUGUUUUAGUGAGUCGCUGGUUUGAACUGUGUCCUUUUUGGGCCUGUUCGAUCUCAUCUGUCCCUGGUUUCAGGUUGCAACGCUUCACUUCCAGCUUCUCACACUGUGAUUUGUAGCCUUUGGGCAUUUUUUUUUUUACAGUUUUUCGGAUUGUGUUUAUUCAAAGAGAAUUCAUGUGGCAUUUAUAGCCACAGUGGGACACCGUGUUACAGAGUGUGAGACCAGGAUCCUGCUUUAAAGUGCAACAGGACCUGCGCUGCGUUUUCACUGGGAGCCUUUUUCAACGUGUUGGUUUAAAGACUUUGACAGCGCCGGUCAAAACAGUCCUUCAGCUGAACAUGACGGACGGACGGACGCGCAUCCGUCUCGUCGGUGUCUUUGUACCGAGAGCAGAAGAAGAAAUACGUGCUGCAGUCGAUCCAUGACUGAUUAUUGUUCCAGGCUCUCGGAGCACGAGUGGCUGCCGGCUAUCAGGCGUCAACAUCCAUCAGCCUCCACACACACUUAUGCCCUUGGGCUUCAGUCGCCGUGUGUCAUCAGGACGAGCAGAGAGCCGGUGCCGCACCACCUGACUGCAUCUGCAGCUACAGUACCUGCAUCCACCCGACUACCCCCCCCCCCACUCGGCAGGGAAAGCCUGGGAAGGAGAAUCCCUUUGAAUAAAGUGCAGAGCUGUAACCUGCUCGACUGGGUGGGAUGACAAGCCGACUGCAGAGGUGAAAGCGAGGAGUGAUGGAGACAGGAAGAGAGAGAGGAGCCAUGCCUGCCCUGUUCUGCAGUGUGGGUUUGUGAACAUUGCUGCAUGACAGGGAAAGAGGGGAAUCGCACUGCAGUGGCGGGGCCUCUCCCGCUCUCGUCUGUGGAAGGCGCCGCACAUGCACGGGCAGAAUGAAGGGAGGACGGAGCAGGACAGAGAGGCACAAGGAGGGAGGAUGAAAACACUUUGUUCCUGUCGGCGGCUGCCCCCACGCUGGGCCGGCAGAGAUGCCCAGCAGAGGAGACAAUCUCAAGUUCCACGUGGUCCUGACAAGCUCCUCGUCACUCCGCAGGGAGAGAAACUCCCUCUCCUCCGAGGAAGCUGUAGUGUUACGAAGAUUUCCGACGACGGCUGAGACGAGAGGAGUCUUAAGGUGAUGCAGAGAGGAAGGAGACUCAACCAAAGAACGAGACGGCUGCAGUCAACAGAUGAGUGACAGCAGAGCGCCUAUUUAAACGCACACAGCCGUCACUCACUCAACUUAAACCGCUCCGUCCUGGCAUCGCAGGGACGCUGGAGCCCGUCCCAGAUCACCCGGAGAACCUGGAGAAAACCCACGCACGCACAUGCAGUGACCACUAAACCACCGCCCCGCCCACACAACACACACGCACGCA